UCCCAAGUCCUUCCAGUCAGGGUUCAACAUUGAACUCAGAACACUCACCAUGGACUUAAGCCUCAUAUUGGUUUCCUUUGUUCUUAUUUUAAAAGGUGUCCAGUGUGAGGUGCAAUUGCUGGAGUCUGGUGGAGGCUUAGUGCAGCCUGGAGAGUCCCUGAAACUCUCCUGUGCAGCCUCUGGAUUCACCUUCAGUAGUUAUGCAAUGAGCUGGGUUCGCCAGGCUUCCGGGAAGGGAUUGGAGUGGGUCUCAACCAUUAAUAGUGGUGGUGGUAGCACCUGGUAUACUGACGCUGUGAAGGGCCGCUUCACAAUCUCCAGAGACAAUGCCAAGAACACUCUGUACCUGGAAAUGAGCAGUCUGAGGUCUGAAGACACAGCCAUGUAUUACUGUGCAAGAUACACACUGAGUGAAUGCUGCUGA